AAGAAAGAAGACCAACCUCCUCCACUCUGUGCACAGAUUUGAUGCAACGGAGUGAAACCCAGAUUUCGUGUUGUGAAUAAAAUGUUUUCCUUGAUGAUGACAAUGAGCAGAAACCGGAGUUAUGUGGAAUUUGGGCACAUAAGCCAGGGAGAUGGUGAUUUGCAAGUGAGACGAGAAAGUAACGUAAAGAAGAUUUCUACUGUGUACUCAGUGGACUUACCGACAAUGGUUGCACAGGUGUACAAAGGGACCUGCAAUGAUCUUCACUUGAUUCCUAUUCAAAGGUGUACAUGCCAAAACACUUACAAUCGGAAGUGGAUUAGAAAAUCCCAAAAAAGCUGCAGUUCUGAAGAGGGAAGUUGUGGGCAUUCUUCCUUGUCUGCUAGAGACAAAGGAGUUUUUAUGGUCAAGCUGGAGAAGACCCUUCUCAACUUUUCUCCCUGAGAUUCUUUCAGUUUUUCUCAUUGGACAUGCAGGGAAGCGAGGUGUAGCUUUGAAGCACUUCUUCUUGGCUUUUUGUCUGGGAUGAGAGGCUAUAAAUAUCAGCUUGUAAUAAAAAUAAUUUUAAUGUCCAUCCAUGUUAAGUUCACUAGUAUGGUGGAACUUUUUGUGUCCAAAUCCUUCACUUUCCAGAACAUUCAACUCCUCUAAACUCAGAAUUUUUUUAAGUAAUAAGAUUUGGAAAUUAACAGAAGUUAGCUCUUACUGGGAAGAUAUCUAUUUAGCUCUUCAGAUUCAUGGAAAGGAGCAUUUGUCAUCUAUUUUUGGUGGUGAAUUAUCCAUGAUGACGGAACUAGAAUCUGAAGCCAAUGCUCAGUGAAUGCUGAGUGGCUAAACUGACAGUGUCUAGCAUAUUGGUAGUGCAGAAAUGGACACAAAUUAAAAGUCUUGGUUGAGCUUGAACAAUAUGCGUAGUGGACAGGAGGAUGUUACAGUUGUAGGCAUGUCAAAUAUUGGUUUUCCUGAGAAUCUCUCGUGUUCCUUGCCAUCUGGCUCAACUUUGAUCCGAUGUGAAUAUCUCUUAGAAAGGUGAAAAAGUGUGCAAAAGUGCAGCCCCCUUUCUUAAAGAUUGGUGAGGGCCUACCUUUCACUUCUUAGGUACCUUUGCCAAGUUAGAUACUCUUUCCACACAAACCUAAAACCCAAAACUGUAACUACAACUUCAACUGAAAAAGUUACUAAUUGUAAACCAGUAACUUAUCAAAAUCUAAUUUAUUGUUUAUCAAUUUUCAUUCUUUUUAAGGGCUAAGCACUCUUUCUAUGGUAUACAUGUUGAUGGAAGUGAGCAUGGGAUGGGAUACCUUCACCUGAAGGUGGUAUUAGAAGCCUGUCUUAUUGUGGAAGAGCUUCUAAUUCUUUCAAUUGUGCAAACCUGUUUCCAAUAAAAUGCUGAGUGGAGAAAAAGCGCUCAUGCCUGCCGAAUGGCCUUUCGUAAAUGGCUACAUCAAGAUCCCAAGGAUCAUUGACACCCUCAAACGUUAAAGUGAAAAAGCGCAGCACCUCAGCCAGGUCCAGUGAUAUUAUGGAAGGCAGCACAGGGAUGGGCAUGGUUCAGUGGAUGGGAAUAAUAACUGGAUAUUUCAUGUGAAAAGACCAAGACCCACAGGGUAGCAUGGACCCCAAUCAAAAGCCUGAAAGCUCCGCCAAGCUCGAAUCACAUUCACAACAGACAAGAAGGUAUUACCGGACACUAGAGCUAUGCAAGCUGUGUACCAUUGCUUCCUUUAUUUUUCCUUUCCAUGUGGCUGAACUUUCUACACUUUCCUACAUUUUCUGAAUCCUUUAUUCCAGAAAGGAAGUAGAGCAUCCAUUCAUUUCUUAUGGAAUGGGGUUUCUUUCUUCUUUUUUUUAUCCUUUUUUUGGAGGGGUGGAAUGUAGUAGACAUGAUUUCUUAUGGUUGACCUAUUUAA